GUGAGGUUGAACACUCAUACAUUUAUUGGCAUUUAGGAUUUCUAUCAGCACAUUGAAGAUAUCCUUCUACUGUCCUUUGGAUUCCCAUUGUUGCUGCUGAGAAGUUGGCGUUCAUUCUUGCUGCCACUCACUUGAAGGUCAGUUGUACAAAGGGUCAACUCAUCCAGAACCCUGUGAAGACCAUUGAUGUCGGCCUCGACGCUCUGGUGUAGAGUAAGUUCGUUUUCAUACCUGAAAGGUCUGCAUUGGCCUCCUCCAGAGCUCGUACAUGGUCCAGGUAGCACGCCAGGCGGUCAUUGAGGUUCUGCAUGGUCACCUUUUCAUUCCCAGAAAGGAGGCCAUGCUCAUUUCCCAGAAAACCAGCACAGACACCCCCACCACCAUGAUAGAAACCUCCUCCAGAAGAAAUGCUCCCAAGAGCACAAGAAAUGUUACUUCCUGCUCCAGAUCCACGGCACACAUUCCCAGCUCCAAAGCCUGGACCGCCACCAGACAGCCACCCCGGGCUAGCUCGUGAGCAGACUCUCCUAGCUCCACUAGAAAGUUGAAAAGACAUGGUGACAGUACAGUGGAGUGACCCUUUCUCAGCAAGGAGCAAAGCAAAAGCACACCAUCCAUAGAAGUGAAGAAGUGAUCUCCAUUGGCCUUUUAUAGGUCUCAGUAGGUUCUUUCAGUCUUGACUUUCAAUCUGUAAUAAAAAUUACUUGCUCCCUAAUUGUUGUUUUUCAUAAUUGGAUGAUUUUUAAUUGUGUCCAGUCUGUAGGUGGAAAGGUGCCCCAAGGGUAUGUUGAUCUAUGAAAAGGUGCCUGGCCGAGUAAUACUAAAUCAUAGUUUCAAAGGUCAAUAUUAAAUGUGAGUAAACAUACAUCUUUUUGACCUCUGGAAGAGAGUCUAGUUUUUUUUUCCUCUAGAUAAUAAAGAAUAAUUCACAUGA